AUGUGGAUUGGGGUCACCUUAGGUCUCUGCAGCCACAUGUGGAUUGCGGUCACCUUGGGUCUUGCAGCCAUGUGGAUUGGGGUCACCUUGGGUCUCACAGCCAUGUGGAUUGGGGUCACCUUGGGUCUUGCAGCCAUGUGGAUUGGGGUCACCUCGGGUCUUGUAGCCAUGCGGAUUGGGGUCACCUUGGGUCUCAAAGCCAUGUGGAUUAGGGUCACCUUGGGUCUCACAGCCAUGCGAAUUGGGGUCACCUUGGGUCUGCAGCCAUGUGGAUUGGGGUCACCUUGGAUCUCAAAGCCAUGUGGAUUGGGGUCUUUGGUCUUGCAGCCAUGUGGAUUGGGGUCACCUUGGGUCUCGCAGCCAUGUGGAUUGGAGUCACCUUGGGUCUUGCAGCCAUGUGGAUUGGGGUCACCUUGGGUCUUGCAGCCACGUGGAUUGGGGUCACCUUGGGUCUCGCAGCCGUGUGGAUUGGAGUCACCUUUGGUCUUGCAGCCAUGUGGAUUGGGGUCACCUUGGGUCUCAGCAGCCAUGGAUUGGGGUCACCUCGGGUCUUGUAGCCAUGCGGAUUGGGGUCACCUUGGGUCUCAAAGCCGGCAUGUGGAUUGGGGUCACCUCGGGUCUUGAAGCCAUGUGGAUUGGGGCCACCUUAGGUCUCGCAGCCAUGCGGAUUGGAGUCACCUUGGGUCUCGCAGCCAUGCGGAUUGGGGUCUCCUUAGGUCUCGCCUUUCUAGGCUUUGGGUUUUCCGUCAGUAAAUUCCCUUUUAAUGCUGUUGAAGUUUUCUUGUUGUUAUUUUGCUUUUGUUUGUUACUGUGGUUAUUUUUAACCCCGUGGCUGAAACCGGGACACUGAGGUGUGAGGGAAAGGGGCCCGCCGUGAGUGAGGCGGGUCAUCCACACACCCACGCUGUCUGCCAGAGCUGGCUGUGUCUCAUCAUCAUAACCUGAGCUGCUGAAAACAAAGCGGAACAACAAAGAGACUCUGGGGCCCACCCACUGGGUCCAGACCCAGCACGUCGCUGGGGCGUGCAGUUUCAAUGAGUUUGUCUCCUGUGUACUCAUCCGGAAUGCUAGGUUACUUUUGUGCACAAAUACACCAGUUACAUCACUAUCUGUAGAUUAAAAAAAAAACAAAAAAAAAAACAAAAAAAAAGAAAAGAAGGUGUGUGGAGCACCACACAUGUUCCACGCAAGGGAAGGGGUGAGCGGAUCCCUGGUGGUGGGGGGCAGUCAGGCAAAGCUAAAGCUAACACUAGCUUCAGGCUCAGGGUUGUCUCCCAAAGAGCCUCUUGGGCCAUCUGCUGAUGCCUGAAAGUCCUGGUCCUUGCAGUAGCAGAGGGACGAGGCAGGAGUGGGGUAUUCCUGAAGGGCUGGACGCUGGCCCCCAGCAAGGUUAGGAGGCCACUUGAAACUCUUCUGACACGAUCAGGUGGGCUUCAGUAGUCACCCAGUAUGUGGAAAACGGGUAUCAUUCAGGAGAAAGAGGUAUUUAUUUUCCUCUUAUUUAUAUUUCUUUGUUUUUCCCAAAUUUUCUCUAUGUAUUAUGCAGGUCGUUA
ensembl:lncRNA